ensembl:rRNA 5S_rRNA 5S ribosomal RNA
GUCUAUGGCCAUACCACCCUGAACAUGCCUGAUCUCAUCAGAUCUCAGAAGCUAAGCAGGGUAGGGCCUGGUUAGUACUUGGAUGGGAGACCUCUUGGGAAUACCGGGUGCUGUAGGCU